CAAGCAACAGGGAAUGUUUCAUUAAGCAUCUGAGUUUGGCUUUGAAGACUGGGUAGAAAUCUGGCAGGGGAACAGAGAGGAUAUUCUAGGCAUGGGGAAUGGUUUGAACAAAGGUACACAGGAGGAGGUGUCCCAUAGGAAGUUAGAGAUGUGGAUCUGGAACACAGAAUUGGAGAGUGAGAGAAAUUCUGGGGUCAUCUACAUAAAGGUUCAUCUCGUGAGUGACUGGAGGUUGGGGAGUCUCCCCUGUAUGCUGUUGGUGGGCUAGGGGGUCAGUCUGUCUCAGAUAGCAAGAGUCCAAGAGAACAGCAGCGAAGCCGCAGAGGUUUCUCCGGUGUCCUGGGGAGGCCUAUUUAGAAAAGCUCUUCUGUGUACUCAGACAUCUCUUGUCUCCCAUAUGAGAAAAUACAAGAGGGCACAGCUCCUGAGACCCCCCAGACCGGCUGCCAGUAUUAGUAACAAUCAGGAGGCAGUGAUGACCUUGGCACUCAAGUCUUCGCCCCACUAACCAAUCCUCCCUGCCCCCUGACCCAAUCAAGUCAGAGAACAGCACUGCAGGCAAGGGAUCCCACAGGCUCCAGAAACUACUGCAAGACACCACUGGCCAGAGAGAAUCUAGAGGUCUAAAGUUCCUAGUUUGAAAGGAAGGAAGUCUAUGUCUGGAUGCGCUGCUUGCUUCUGGCUUUAUUUUAAGCCAAAGCACCAGAUUCCAACAGCCUUCACUGCAAUCUCGGAGGACAGCAGCCUUAGGAGAGAGAUCUUGGCAAAGCGCCACCCCUACAGACUGCAGGGAUAUGCCUACAACACAGACCUGAUAACAGACAAGCUCAGAAGCACCUUCUUCUCCCACCCUGUAUUCUGCCAUUCCGAUCUCUCCCCCCACCUUCCCAGCAGGAAGCAGAUGAGAACUCAAGAAGGCUGAUCAAAUAGAUAUCACAGGCAUCUGGAGCAGAUAGGGAGCGUGUUUGUCAGAGAGAGAGUGGAGGCAGAUGCCCACAUAAACCAUAAUAAUAUAACACAACAGAAGAUAAUCACCCUGCAUCCAGAAAUGUUAUGAGGGUGCUGACUGCCAUAGCUGCCCAGUUCAAGGAACAGGCAGGAGCUUCCUCAAAGAACUCAUGUCCUGUGCCACAGUGAAAGGCCUGAACUAUUACUUCUCUCACUC